CAAUAGCGUAUAUUUAAGUUGCUGCAGUUAAAAAGCUCGUAGUUGGAUUUCGGGUGGGAAUGGCCGGUCCGCCGUUUCGGUGUGCACUUGCUACGCCCACCUUGCUGCCGGGGACGUGCUCUUGAGUUCACGCUCGGGACACGGAGUCGGCGAGGUUACUUUGAGUAAAUUAGAGUGUUCAAAGCAGGCCUACGCUCUGAAUACAUUAGCAUGGAAUAACACGAUAGGACUCUGGCCUAUCUUGUUGGUCUGUAGGACCGGAGUAAUGAUUAAGAGGGACAGUCGGGGGCAUUCGUAUUACAUUGUCAGAGGUGAAAUUCUUGGAUUUAUGAAAGACGAACUACUGCGAAAGCAUUUGCCAAGGAUGUUUUCAUUAA
rnacentral:rRNA from 1 species